UGGCAUUGGGUUGAUCUGGCUUCCACAUCUGUCAUUCCACUGCUCACCAAGACUGAUUUUGCUGAUCUUGUUGGCUAAGUACAGGUGUCCACCUACCUCAUCAUUCCACCAGAGUCCCUCCUGAAAUUGUGCCUUGGUCAAAGGGAGCAAUAGCAAAGUUUCAGUACUUGUAAUAGGCUGUUAGAAAAAUCCAGUCCUACCCUGCUCUCCACUUUACCCCAUGACAACACGGGGCUAUCUCCUGGGU
rnacentral:snRNA from 1 species